AACUUGUUACAAUGGAUCACGUGGUUCUGGCAUCGAUGAAGAACGCAGCGAAAUGCGAUACGUAAUGUGAAUUGCAGAUUUCAGUGAAUCAUCGAAUCUUUGAACGCACAUUGCGCCCGCUAGUAUUCUGGCGGGCAUGCCUGUUCGAGCGUCAUUUCAACCAUCAAGCGCCUGCGCUUGUGUUGGAGCCCUGCGGCUGCCGCAGGCUCCCAAACCCAGUGGCGGGCUCGUCGUCGUACCGAGUGCAGUAAACUUACCACGCUCAGGGAACUCGACGGGUGACCGGCCGUAAAACCCCCAAUUUCUCAAGGUUGACCUCGGAUCAGGUAGGAAUACCCGCUGAACUUAAGCAUAUCAAUAAGCGGAGGCU
rnacentral:misc_RNA from 1 species